GACGAACGCUGGCGGCGUGCUUAACACAUGCAAGUCGAACGUAGUGGCGAACGGGUGAGUAACACGUGAGCAACCUACCUUACACAGGGGGAUAGCCGUUGUAAACGCCGAUUAAUACCGCAUGGUGUAUGGUGGGCUCGCGUCUGAUUAGCUAGUUGGAAGGGUAAAGGCCGACCAUGGCGACGAUCAGUAGCCGGUCUGAGAGGAUGAACGGCCACCUUGGAGCGGAGACACGGGGCAAACUCCUACGGGGGGCGGAAGUGGGGAAUAUUGCAGAAUGGGGGAAACCCUGAUGCAGCGACGCCGCGAGAUUUUGAAGGCGUGAGGAUGGUAAAAAUCUUUUCUAUGGGAAGCAGUACCAUAGAAAUAAGGACGGGUUAUUACGUGCCAGCAGCCGCGGUAAUUC
rnacentral:rRNA from 1 species